rnacentral:tRNA from 2 species
UUAAUUGAAGCCAAAAAGAGGCUUAUUAUUGUUAAUAAUAAAACUGAAUUAAAUUCCAAUUAAG